rnacentral:rRNA from 1 species
AAUGGGGGCAACCCUGAUCCAGCCAUGCCGCGUGAGUGAAGAAGGCCUUCGGGUUGUAAAGCUCUUUCAGGUGGAAAGAAAUCGCAUCUUUUAAUACAGGGUGUGGAUGACGGUACCAUCAGAAGAAGCACCGGCUAACUACGUGCCAGCAGCCGCGGUAAUACGUAGGGUGCGAGCGUUAAUCGGAAUUACUGGGCGUAAAGCGUGCGCAGGCGGUUAUGUAAGACAGAUGUGAAAUCCCCGGGCUCAACCUGGGAACUGCGUUUGUGACUGCAUAACUAGAGUACGGCAGAGGGAGGUGGAAUUCCGCGUGUAGCAGUGAAAUGCGUAGAGAUGCGGAGGAACACCGAUGGCGAAGGCAGCCUCCUGGGCCAGUACUGACGCUCAUGCACGAAAGCGUGGGGAGCAAA